rnacentral:rRNA from 1 species
UAGGGAAUCUUCCACAAUGGACGCAAGUCUGAUGGAGCAACGCCGCGUGAGUGAAGAAGGUCUUCGGAUCGUAAAACUCUGUUGUUAGAGAAGAACACGAGUGAGAGUAACUGUUCAUUCGAUGACGGUAUCUAACCAGAAAGCCACGGCUAACUACGUGCAAG